rnacentral:rRNA from 1 species
AUUGAACGCUGGCGGCAUGCCUUACACAUGCAAGUCGAACGGCAGCGGACCUUCGGGUGCCGGCGAGUGGCGAACGGGUGAGUAAUAUAUCGGAACGUACCUUUCAGUGGGGGAUAACGUAGCGAAAGUUACGCUAAUACCGCAUAUUCUGUGAGCAGGAAAGCAGGGGAUCGCAAGACCUUGCGCUGAUUGAGCGGCCGAUAUCAGAUUAGCUAGUUGGUGAGGUAAAGGCUCACCAAGGCGACGAUCUGUAGCGGGUCUGAGAGGAUGAUCCGCCACACUGGAACUGAGACACGGUCCAGACUCCUACGGGAGGCAGCAGUGGGGAAUUUUGGACAAUGGGCGCAAGCCUGAUCCAGCCAUGCCGCGUGAGUGAAGAAGGCCUGGUUGUAA